UGUCUUUGAGUGGGGGACAACCCAGGGAAACUUGGGCUAAUACCGCAUAAGCCCUGAGGGGGAAAGCGGGGGAUCUUCGGACCUCGCGCUGGAAGAGGAGCCUACGUCUGAUUAGCUAGUUGGUAGGGUAAAGGCCUACCAAGGCGACGAUCGGUAGCUGGUCUGAGAGGACGACCAGCCACACUGGGACUGAGACACGGCCCAGACUCCUACGGGAGGCAGCAGUGGGGAAUUUUUCGCAAUGGGGGCAACCCUGACGAAGCAAUGCCGCGUGAAUGAAGAAGGCCUUCGGGUUGUAAAGUUCUUUCGUGGAGGACGAAAAGGUGGGUGCUAAUAUCGCCUGCUGUUGACGUGAAUCCAAGAAGAAGCACCGGCUAACUCCGUGCCAGCAGCCGCGGUAAUACGGGGGGUGCAAGCGUUAAUCGGAAUCACUGGGCGUAAAGGGUGCGUAGGCGGUGCAUUAGGUCUGUCGUGAAAUCCCCGGGCUCAACCUGGGAAUGGCGGUGGAAACCGGUGUACUAGAGUAUGGGAGAGGGUGGUGGAAUUCCAGGUGUAGCGGUGAAAUGCGUAGAGAUCUGGAGGAACAUCAGUGGCGAAGGCGGCCACCUGGCCCAAUACUGACGCUGAGGCACGAAAGCGUGGGGAGCAAACA
rnacentral:rRNA from 1 species